CAAUAUACAACGUUUCAUUAAACUUGUUCUUUACAAUAUUAACUAAUUAUCAUUGUAGUUCAUUCAAACUGUGUCUACAUUUCUUUACUGUGUAUGUGAUGCCUGUCUGGUUAUUGACAUACUGUGGUUGCUUCUUACUCAAUCAUGUCCAACUUAAAAAAAAAUACAUACGAAUACAGUUAAGUUUCGUAUACCUCAUGGAAUACAUUGUACACGUAGAAUAACACCA
rnacentral:lncRNA from 1 species